rnacentral:sRNA from 1 species
AGACCCUUAUGGGUCACCUAGCCAACUGACGUUGUUAGUGAACUAAGUAUUCACAAAAUGAAGCCAAUAGAAUCUUUCUAUUGGCUAUUUUUUU